UUGGAGGGCAAGUCUGGUGCCAGCAGCCGCGGUAAUUCCAGCUCCAAUAGCGUAUAUUAAAGUUGUUGCAGUUAAAAAGCUCGUAGUUGAAUUUCGGGAUUGGCACAUCGGUCGUGCCUCACGGGGUAUGAACUGGUGCAGUCAAUUUCUCACCUUCUGGAGAACCGCGAUGUCCUUAAUUGGAUGCCGCGGGGAACCAGGACCUUUACUUUGAAAAAAUUAGAGUGUUUAAAGCAGGCAUUUUUGCUUGAAUACAUUAGCAUGGAAUAAUAAAAUAGGACGGCAUGGUUCUAUUUUGUUGGUUUCUAGGACCACCGUAAUGAUUAAUAGGGAUAGUUGGGGGCAUUAGUAUUCAAUUGUCAGAGGUGAAAUUCUUGGAUUUAUUGAAGACUAACUACUGCGAAAGCAUUUGCCAAGGAUGUUUUCAUUAAUCAAGAACGAAAGUUAGGGGAUCGAAGACGAUCAGAUACCGUCGUAGUCUUAACCAUAAACUAUGCCGACUAGGAAUCAGACGAUGUUAAUUUUUUAAUGACUCGUUUGGCACCUUACGGGAAACCAAAGUGUUUGGGUUC
rnacentral:rRNA from 1 species